AGCUUUGCGCAGUGGCAGUAUGGUAGCCAAUGAGGUUUAUCCGAGGCGCGAUUAUUGCUAAUUAAAAUUAAAUCCCUUGAAAUUGGGAUUGAAAUUUCCAAUAUUCAAUCCCAUUUGACAUAAAAAGGUCAAUUUU